rnacentral:ribozyme from 14 species
UUUUUUUUUUUUUUUUUUUUUUUUUUCCAUCUCACAGCGCGAUACACGUCGAACCACUCAGGACGGUCUG